UUAAGGGAUAUAGUUUAAGGUAUGUUAGCUAAAGCUUAAGGCUAUAAAUAGGGGUCAUUAGUGUAAACAUAGCUCACACCAAUCUCUAUUACAGAUUUACAUACAAAAAUUCCCUUGCAAUCACCCUCAUAUAUUCACUUAUUUCAUUUUAGAAUAAAGCCUUAACUCCUUAGCUCGGCUUAAUAUGUCACCAUAAAACCAAACACCACCCACAAACUAUUGUUUUCUUGUCCCUCAUUAACUCAAGGCUAAGACUCUAAGUUAACAUCAUCCUCUCAUAUAUCUUACAUCAUAUUGGCCUCACCAUACAUCUAUCAUUUUAAGUUCAAGUUUUGGUGCCCAACUAGAUCUCAUUGGAAGCUAAUUAAGGUUUUUCAUAAGAUAAUUAUUUCUCAAGGGUCACUUUCAUUGCAAUCAAGGCUAGGACUCCACAAUCGAGACCAAGGUAACUGAAAGUCUAGAAUGCCGGUGGCGAGUGAAACUUUGGACGCUUGUGUGUGUGAACUCGUUGAGGGCCAUAUAACUGCGGGCGGUCUAGGACACUCUAUUUAUUUAUUUACGCUAUUAAGUUUAUGUCGCAAUUAUUUCAGUUAUUAUUUAUUAUGUCUUUUGUACAAAAACUGGCCAGUUGUGAACAUUUUCAAGUAUUAAAUAAAAAUGCGACAUUAUAAUUUUCCGCAUUUAACGCUUGUAAAUAAAAUUAGUAUUUUUAUAAAAGUACGGGCGUUACAGAUAUUGACUUGGAAAGAUAUAUAUAACGGUAAGUUUGUAAUGUCUUAACUUAGUUGCAAUAUCGGUCC